rnacentral:rRNA from 1 species
GGGGGAUGAGCUGUGGGUAGGGGUGAAAGGCCAAUCAAACUCUGUGAUAGCUGGUUCUCCCCGAAAUGCAUUUAGGUGCAGCGUUGUGUGUUUCUUGCCGGAGGUAGAGCUACUGGAUGGCCGAUGGGCCCUACAAGGUUACUGACGUCAGCUAAACUCCGAAUACCGGUAAGUGAGAGCGCAGCAGUGAGACUGUGGGGGAUAAGCUUCAUGGUCGAGAGGGAAACAGCCCAGACCACCGGUUAAGGCCCCUAAGCGUGUGCUAAGUGGGAAAGGAUGUGGAGUUGCUUAGACAACCAGGAGGUUGGCUUAGAAGCAGCCACCCUUGAAAGAGUGCGUAAUAGCUCACUGGUCAAGUGAUUCCGCGCCGACAAUGUAGCGGGGCUCAAGCACACCGCCGAAACCGUGGCAAUUCUCAUCUUUGGAUGGGGGUUGGGUAGGGGAGCGUCGAGCACAGCGGUGAAGCCGCGGCGGAAGCCUGUGGUGGAGCGUGUUCGAGUGAGAAUGCAGGCAUGAGUAGCGAAAGACACGUGAGAAACGUGUCCGCCGAAUGACCAAGGGUUCCAGGGUCAAGCUAAUCUGCCCUGGGUUAGUCGGGACCUAAGGCGAGGCCGACAGGCGUAGUCGAUGGACAACGGGUUGAUAUUCCCGUACCGGCGAAGAACCGCCCAUGGUGAACUGGUGAUACUAACCACCCGAACCACACUGGACAGUCUCUUUGAGUCUGCGUGUGUGGGGAGCGUGGGACCUGAACUGGGGAGCCAAGCGUAUUAACAGGUGUGACGCAGGAAGGUAGCCGGGCCUAGCGAUGGUUGUCUAGGUCUAAGAAUGUAGCCUGGUUCCUAGGUAAAUCCGGGAGCUGUUGAGGGUGAGAUUUGAUGGGCCCCACCGUUUGGGUGGGGAUCCGGUGAUCCUAUGCUGCCGAGAAAAGCAUCGACGCGAGGUUCUAGCCGCCCGUACCCCAAACCGACACAGGUGGUCAGGUAGAGAAUACCAAGGCGAUCGAGAGAAUCACGGUUAAGGAACUCGGCAAAAUGCCCCCGUAACUUCGGGAGAAGGGGGGCCUCACCCGUGAUCCGCACUUGCUGCGGGGAGGCGGGUUGGGGCCGCAGAGACCAGGGGGAAGCGACUGUUUACUAAAAACACAGGUCCGUGCGAAGUCGUAAGACGAUGUAUACGGACUGACUCCUGCCCGGUGCUGGAAGGUUAAGAGGACGAGUCAGCUGCUUUCGGGUAGCGAAGCUCAGAAUUUAAGCCCCAGUAAACGGCGGUGGUAACUAUAACCAUCCUAAGGUAGCGAAAUUCCUUGUCGGGUAAGUUCCGACCUGCACGAAUGGAGUAACGACUUCCCCGCUGUCUCAACCGUGAACUCGGCGAAAUUGCAUUACGAGUAAAGAUGCUCGUUACGCGCAGCAGGACGGAAAGACCCCGAGACCUUUACUAUAGCUUGGUAUUGGUGUUUGGCAUCACUUGUGUAGGAUAGGUGGGAGACUGUGAAGCGGUCACGCUAGUGGUCGUGGAGUCAUCGUUGAAAUACCACUCUGGUGUUGUUAGGCAUCUAACUUCGGGCCCUGAUCGGGUCCAGGGACAGUGCCUGGUGGGUAGUUUAACUGGGGCGGUUGCCUCCCAAAGAGUAACGGAGGCGCCCAAAGGUUCCCUCAGCCUGGUUGGCAAUCAGGUGUUGAGUGUAAGUGCACAAGGGAGCUUGACUGUGAGACAGGCAUGUCGAGCAGGAACGAAAGUUGGGACUAGUGAUCCGGCGGCACCGUGUGGAAGGGCCGUCGCUCAACGGAUAAAAGGUACCUCGGGGAUAACAGGCUGAUCCUGCCCAAGAGUCCAUAUCGACGGCAUGGUUUGGCACCUCGAUGUCGGCUCGUCGCAUCCUGGGGCUGGAGUUGGUCCCAAGGGUUGGGCUGUUCGCCCAUUAAAGCGGUACGCGAGCUGGGUUUAGAACGUCGUGAGACAGUUCGGUCCCUAUCCGCUGCGCGCGUUGGAGAUUUGAGAAGGUCUGUCCUUAGUACGAGAGGACCGGGACGGACGAACCUCUGGUGUGUCAGUUGUACUGCCAAGUGCACCGCUGAUUAGCUACGUUCGGGAUGGAUAACCGCUGAAAGCAUCUAAGCGGGAAGCCGGCUUCAAGAUAAGAUCUCCGUCACCCUUGAGGUGUGAAGGCUCCCAGCUAGACCACUGGGUUGAUAGGCCGGAUGUGGAAGCACGGACUGAAGACGUGUGAAGCUGACCGGUACUAAUAAGCCGACCACUUACACCACA